UGCAGACCUCGUCUCUCUUUAUUGAGAGUGCGACGCGUCUCUUCAACUCACUCGCACAUUCUCUUGAACGCAACGAGCGUGACCGCAACCUCUUGUUGUGUAUACCAAGUGUGUCGUUGCUUGCAACUCACACUCCAAUGCACGUAUUUUGGUCACAUUGUCUUGGUCCGUCGCGCACAGCCUCGGCUGUGUCGGCGUGCCAGCAAUGUCCAAAUAAACUGAGGACCGCU
rnacentral:rRNA from 1 species